GCUCCCAGUGCAGUGUGUGUGCCUGUAAUCCCAGCUAAUUAGAGGCUGAGGUGGGAGGAGCACUGAAGCCCAAAAGUUCUGGGCAGUAUUGCACUAUGGUAAUCUGGUGUCUGCAUCAAGCUUUCCAUCAAUAUAGUGACCUCCUGGGACCAAGGGACCACUGGGUUGCCUAAGGAGGGUUGAACCAGUCCAGGUUGGAAAUAGAGCAGAUCAACAUUCCCAUGCUGAUCAGUAGUGGGAUUGUGCUACCCAAUACACUCCAGCCUGGGCAACACAGCAAGUGCCCUGUCUCUU
rfam:Otolemur garnettii contig029354, whole genome shotgun sequence.